rnacentral:rRNA from 1 species
UACGUAGGGUGCUAGCGUUUGUUCGGAAUCAUUGGGCGUAAAGCGCGUGUAGGCGGUUAGUUAAGUCAGGUGUGAAAUCCCUGGGCUCAACCGAGGAAGUGCAUUUGAAACUAACUAGCUAGAAGACGGUAGAGGAAGGUGGAAUUCCAAGUGUAGAGGUGAAAAUUCGUAGAUAUUUGGAGGAAUACCGGUGGCGAAGGCGGCCUUCUGGACCGUUCUUGACGCUGAGACGCGAAAGCGUGGGGAGCAAACAGG